UGUAGCAAGGUUAACCGAAUAGGGGAGCCGAAGGGAAACCGAGUCUUAACUGGGCGUUAAGUUGCAGGGUAUAGACCCGAAACCCGGUGAUCUAGCCAUGGGCAGGUUGAAGGUUGGGUAACACUAACUGGAGGACCGAACCGACUAAUGUUGAAAAAUUAGCGGAUGACUUGUGGCUGGGGGUGAAAGGCCAAUCAAACCGGGAGAUAGCUGGUUCUCCCCGAAAGCUAUUUAGGUAGCGCCUCGUGAAUUCAUCUCCGGGGGUAGAGCACUGUUUCGGCAAGGGGGUCAUCCCGACUUACCAACCCGAUGCAAACUGCGAAUACCGGAGAAUGUUAUCACGGGAGACACACGGCGGGUGCUAACGUCCGUCGUGAAGAGGGAAACAACCCAGACCGCCAGCUAAGGUCCCAAAGUCAUGGUUAAGUGGGAAACGAUGUGGGAAGGCCCAGACAGCCAGGAUGUUGGCUUAGAAGCAGCCAUCAUUUAAAGAAAGCGUAAUAGCUCACUGGUCGAGUCGGCCUGCGCGGAAGAUGUAACGGGGCUAAACCAU
rnacentral:rRNA from 1 species